rnacentral:lncRNA from 1 species
AAAGGUUUUAAUGGAUUCUUUUGAAGUUUUAUGUACAAAGUGAUAGCUACUUAAAUAAAUAUAGUAUGCCUUCUUCUUCUGGAAGUGUUUAAAACUCCUCUUCUGUUAACAUUAUUUCAGUGUGAUCCUGUGAAUGAAAAGAGCAAAUGCAAGUUUCCCUACUAAUGCUCCACAAAACUUAAGAGUUUUGAUGAAAAGUCCUUGGUUUAUUAAAAUGUUCUAAGUUGUCUCCUUCCCCUUUGCUUUUUUUUUUUUAGAUGAAGUUAAACCAUGAAAAAGAGAAAAGUGACCCAUGUGGUUGUGGUGUGAGAAAGGAGAAACAGCCCAAGUGAAAGAUCCAGCACAAGUGCAUGGAGCCUACAUGAUACUCAUUCGCCAUGACUGAGGGAAAUUCACUCUUUAAAUAUGCACUGAGGAGACUUCUGUUCCCAGGAAGAUGAAGUAGACAUCCUUUUUCCUAUUUCUGCCACUAAAUAAAGCUAAAAACUCUGGAC